UACAUAGGUCCCAAGCGUUAUCCGGAAUUACUGGGCGUAAAGCGUCUGCAGGUGGAAAAGUGUGUGAGAUGUGAAAGACCGGGGCUCAACCCCGUGUUUGUGUCUCAAACUGCUUUUCUAGAGUGAGUAAGAGGUAUGCGGAAUUUAUGGAGUAGGAGUGCAAUCCGUUGACACCAUAAAGAACACCAAAAGCGAAGGCAGCAUACUGGGGCUCUACUGACACUCAGAGACGAAAGCGUGGGGAGCGAAA
rnacentral:rRNA from 1 species